CGGCAGGAAGCGGCUGGCAAAGACUAGGCCCUCUAGACUCAAGAGAAAUGUAGACUGAACUCGCCGGCCGGCUUCCGGGGUCCGUAGAAAGAAACGCGCAAAACGCAUGACGUUUCAAUUACCCAGCUUGCAAAAUGUUUAAAUGGGUUUAAAUUUAAGCGGGUUUCUGGGGUUUAAAUGGGUUUAAGCGGGUUUCUGGCGUUAACAGGACGUUGCUUCUCUCUCUCCCCCAGAGCAAAAGUGGGGAAUUGCCCGUUUUAUUUUGAUUAUUUUGCGCUUUUAGAUUGUGUUUUUAUCCUGAGACCUGCAGGUAUAGGGUGGUGUAAUAAUAAUAAUAAUAAUAAUAAAAACAAAAAACAAAAAUGUUAAGGUGCCUUUUCCUGACUCCUUUUUUUUUUUUAGCGGGGGAGAGAGGUUUGGUGUUCCAGUUCAGUCCAGCAGUUAUUAAAGUGUUGGAGCCGGAGCUGCUUCCUCAGCCUGGGUUGUGACUGAAAGGUCUUGCUGGCAACGAGAGAAAGAAAAAUCAAACUCUGCAUCUGCUGUCCUCUGCUGUUUCUUCAACAAGCUCUGCCUUAAGAGUUCAGAUGCAAUAGGUUUUUUAAAUAUAAAUUAUAUAUGUGUGUGUGUAAAAUCAUUUUAACAUUUCAAAACAACAUCCUUC